GCUUGUCUCAAAGAUUAAGCCAUGCAUGUCUAAGUAUAAACAAAUCUAUACUGUGAAACUGCGAAUGGCUCAUUAUAUCAGUUAUAGUUUAUUUGAUGGUCCUUGCUACUUGGAUAACCGUAGUAAUUCUAGAGCUAAUACAUGCAUCAGACCCCGACUGUUUGGAAGGGGUGUAUUUAUUAGAUGGAAACCGAUGCGGGGUAACCCGGAUUUUGGUGAUUCAUAAUAACUUUCGGAUCGAUCGCAAGAUCGAUGCAUCAUUCAAGUUUCUGCCCUAUCAGCUUUGGAUGGUAGGGUAUUGGCCUACCAUGGCUUUAACGGGUAACGGAGAAUUAGGGUUCGAUUCCGGAGAGGGAGCCUGAGAAAUGGCUACCACAUCCAAGGAAGGC
rnacentral:rRNA from 1 species